CAGUAGCCGCGGUAAUACAGAGGAUGCAAGCGUUAUCCGGAAUGAUUGGGCGUAAAGGGCUCGCAGGCGGUUUCUUAAGUCUGAUGUGAAAGCCCCCGGCUCAACCGGGGAGGGUCAUUGGAAACUGGGAAACUUGAGUGCAGAAGAGGAGAGUGGAAUUCCAUGUGUAGCGGUGAAGUGCGUAGAUAUAUGGAGGAACACCGGUGGCGAAAGCGGCUCUCUGGCUUGUAACUGACGCUGAGGCUCGAAAGCGUGGGGAGCAAACAGGAUUAGAUACCCGAGUAGUCCCUGUCUCUUAUAC
rnacentral:rRNA from 1 species